UGGAAGUAAAAGUCGUAACAAGGUCUCCGUUGGUGAACCAGCGGAGGGAUCAUUACUGAGUUUUGAAAAAGACUCCCAAACCCUGUGAACCUACCUAUUGUUGCCUCGGUAGGUGGCCUCGUUGCGCUGUAGGAAUAAAUCCCUAUAGUACAGUGGGUGCACCCUGCCGAAGGCCCCUAUAAACUCUUUGUAUUUUGAACAUUGGAUCUUCUGAAGUGGAAAAAAAAAAUAGUUAAAACUUUCAACAACGGAUCUCUUGGCUCUGGCAUCGAUGAAGAACGCAGCGAAAUGCGAUACGUAAUGUGAAUUGCAGAACUCAGUGAAUCAUCGAAUCUUUGAACGCACAUUGCGCCCGCCAGUAUUCUGGCGGGCAUGCCUGUUCGAGCGUCAUUUCAACCCUUAAGCCUCUGUCGCUUAGUGUUGGGAGACCGCUAGGAUGUCCUUGCAGCUCCCUAAAUUCAGUGGCGGAGUAGGUCUUCACCCCAGACGUAGUAGCUAUUACAUCGCCUGUGGUAUAGGCCCUCUCUUGCCGUAAAAAUGCCCUAAAAAGCACUAUAGGUUGACCUCGGAUCAGGUAGGAAUACCCGCUGAACUUAAGCAUAUCAAUAAGCGGAGGA
rnacentral:misc_RNA from 1 species